UGACACGCACUUUCCCACAGCCCACAUUUUACAGAUAUCCUGGUUAGAGGACUCACAGGACUCCUGUUUAUUCCGUUUAAAUUCACGGGAUCUUCCAAGCAGGAUUUCUAGAACACCUGGGGACAUCUUGGGAAAGUUAAUGGAAUAGUAGAGCUACUAUGAGUUAGCUAAAACGGAGUGCUACAAUAUACUGUAUCAUAGUUAUUUUGAAGUCCUGGAAUGUGAUCAUAUACUGUAAAAUAUGAAUAAAGUUAUUUUGAAGUCCUGGAAUGUGAUCAUAUACUGUAAAAUAUGAAUAAAGUUAUUUUGAAGUCCUGGAAUGUGAUCAUAUACUGUAAAAUAUGAAUAAAGUUAUUUUGAAUUCCUGGAAUGUGAUCAUAUAUAAGAUAAAUAAAGUUAUUUUGAAGUCCUGGAAUGUGAUCAUAUAUAAGAUAAAUAAAGUUAUUUUGAAGUCCUGGAAUGUGAUCAUAUAUAAGAUAAAUAAAGUUAUUUUGAAGUCCUGGAAUGUGAUCAAAUAUAAGAUAAAUGUAAGUUAUUUCUUGCCACAGUGUUUUUUGUUGUUGUUGUUG
rnacentral:lncRNA from 13 species